rnacentral:rRNA from 1 species
UACGUAGGGGGCGAGCGUUGUCCGAAGUUACUGGGCGUAAAGGGCGCGUAGGCUGUGCUGUAAGUCAGGCGUGAAAGCCCCGGGCUCAACCUGGGAAUUGCGCUUGAUACUGCGGCGCUGGAAGGUGGGAGAGGAUGGCGGAAUUCCCAGUGUAGAGGUGAAAUUCGUAGAUAUUGGGAAGAACACCGGUGGCGAAGGCGGCCAUCUGGCCCAUUUUUGACGCUGAGGCGCGAAAGCGUGGGGAGCAAACAGG